UACGAAGGGGACUAGCGUUGUUCGGAAUCACUGGGCGUAAAGCGCACGUAGGCGGAUGUGUCAGUCAGGGGUGAAAUCCCGGGGCUCAACCUCGGAACUGCCUUUGAUACAGCACGUCUCGAGUCCGGGAGAGGGAUGCGGAAUUCCAGGUGUAGCGGUGAAAUGCGUAGAUAUCUGGAGGAACACCGGUGGCGAAGGCGGCAUCCUGGACCGGCAUUGACGCUGAGGCGCGAAAGCCAGGGGAGCAAACGGG
rnacentral:rRNA from 1 species